UACGUAGGGGGCAAGCGUUGUCCGGAUUUCCUGGGCGUAAAGCGCGCGUAGGCGGAAGGUGAAGCGUGGCCUGAAAGCCCCCGGCUCAACCGGGGAGGGCGGCUGCGAACUGGCCUUCUUGAGGGCGAUAGAGGGGGGCGGAAUUCCUGGUGUAGCGGUGAAAUGCGUAGAGAUCAGGAGGAACACCCGUGGCGAAGGCGGCCCCCUGGGUCGGCCCUGACGCUGAGGCGCGAAAGCUAGGGGAGCAAACAGG
rnacentral:rRNA from 1 species